rnacentral:lncRNA from 1 species
AUAGAAGAACUGAAUCAUAUGAUAACUGCAUUUAGGGGUUCACACUUUCAUUCUACUGAAUUGCCACUACAUACUGCUAGGUAUCACUGGUAGAUUAUGAGAUUCAUCGGGUGUCAUCUUGAUGAUCGAUGACUCUCGAAGAGCAGAGUUGGCAUUGUUUCAACCCAUCGAAAGUGAUUUCGAUGAUAUUGUCAUGAAGAUCACAAUAUAUCCACUACC